rnacentral:rRNA from 1 species
AGCGAACGCUGGCGGCAGGCCUAACACAUGCAAGUCGAACGAACCCUUCGGGGUUAGUGGCGGACGGGUGAGUAACACGUGGGAACGUGCCUUUAGGUUCGGAAUAACUCAGGGAAACUUGUGCUAAUACCGAAUGUGCCCUUCGGGGGAAAGAUUUAUCGCCUUUAGAGCGGCCCGCGUCUGAUUAGCUGGUUGGUGAGGUAAUGGCUCACCAAGGCUACGAUCAGUAGCUGGUCUGAGAGGAUGACCAGCCACAUUGGGACUGAGACACGGCCCAAACUCCUACGGGAGGCAGCAGUGGGGAAUCUUGCGCAAGGGGCGAAAGCCUGACGCAGCCAUGCCGCGUGGAUGAUGAAGGUCUUAGGAUUGUAAAAUCCUUUCACCGGUGAAGAUAAUGACUGUAGCCGGAGAAGAAGCCCCGGCUAACUUCGUGCCAGCCGCCGCGGUAAAAC